AACAGACCACAAUGAAGUAUAAGUAACCUUCAUCUCAGACCCCAUAGCGAUGUCAGAGAUAGAGGUGUGAAGAUCCUCAGGCCACAUCCGUCCGUUGUAGUCCACCAUGGCGGUAUGCCACAGUAUAAAUUGGAAUUCCUUUUGUGGCUCGGCUCAAGUCAGUGCUAUCAGCUCCUAUGAAGUCAAGUCUAGUCAAGUCCUGAGUUGGUCAAGACUACAAGUCUCAGCAAAUCCAUACUGAGGUUUCCCUUCUCAUCCACUGCGACAAGGUUUGAUAAAUCUGGGCCAAUGUGUAUAAGAUGGCGCCUCCAGAGAGAGCUACACCCAAGAUGGUAAGACCCACGUGCUGGAUGAGGAACACCUGCAGACGGAAGAAACCAAUCACAAGGACAGUUAUUCAUGAUGUAUAGCUUUGCACACAGCACAGUGUUCCUGUAUUUA